UUCGGUUUGUCCUUCAUGAGUUCUUACGGCAGUCUUUGCUCCUUCAUACAUAUCCUUUAUAGCUUGGAUAUAUGCUACUCGUACUCCUUUCUUCUCUAAAAUCCUCCAAAGAAUGUCUCUUGGGACCCUAUCAUACGCUUUUUCCAAAUCUAUAAAGACCAUGUGUAAAUCCUUUUUCCCAUCUCUAUAUCUUUCCAUCAAUCUUCGCAAGAGAUAGAUUGCCUCCAUGGUUGAGCGCCCUGGCAUGAACCCGAAUUGGUUGUCCGAAACCCGUGUCUCUUGCCUCAAUCUAUGCUCAAUGACUCUCUCCCAGAGCUUCAUUGUAUGACUCAUUAGCUUAAUACCCCUAUAGUUCAUGCAAUUUUGUACGUCGCCCUUAUUCUUGUAAAUAGGCACCAAAGUGCUCAUUCGCCACUCAUUUGGCAUCUUCUUCGUUUUCAAAAUCCUAUUGAAAACGUCAGUGAGCCAUGUUAUACCUGUCUCUCCCAAAAGUUUCCACACUUCGAUUGGUAUAUCGUCUGGGCCUAUUGCUUUUUUAUGCUUCAUCUUCUUCAAAGCUACAAUCACUUCUUCCUUCCGGAUUCGACGAUAAAAAGAGUAGUUUCUACACUCUUCUGAGUUACUCAACUCCCCUAAAGAAGCACUCAUUUCAUGUCCUUCAUUGAAAAGAUUAUGAAAAUAACCUCUCCAUCUGUCUUUAACCGCGUUCUCUGUAGCAAGAACCUUUCCAUCCUCAUCCUUGAUGCACCUCACUUGGUUUAGGUCCCUUGUCUUCUUUUCCCUUGCUCUAGAUAGUUUAUAGAUAUCCAACUCUCCUUCUUUGGUAUCUAGUCGUUUAUACAUAUCGUCG
rnacentral:lncRNA from 1 species